rfam:Gorilla gorilla gorilla genomic chromosome, chr4, whole genome shotgun sequence
UAAAUGCAGCUAUCAAAAAACAAGUUGCAAUUUAUAGAGCACAAAGUCUCUCUUCUU